rnacentral:rRNA from 1 species
AGUGAACGCUGGCGGCAGGCCUAAUACAUGCAAGUCGAACGGCAGCACAGCAGAGCUUGCUCUGUGGGUGGCGAGUGGUGGACGGGUGAGGAAUACGUGGGAAUCUGCCCAGUCGUGGGGAUAACGUAGGGAAACUUACGCUAAUACCGCAUGCGCCCUUCGGGGGAAAGCCGGGGGACCUUCGGGCCUGGCGCGAUUGGAUGAGCCCACGUCGGAUUAGCUAGUUGGCGGGGUAAAGGCCCACCAAGGCGACGAUCCGUAGCUGGUCUGAGAGGAUGAUCAGCCACACUGGAACUGAGACACGGUCCAGACUCCUACGGGAGGCAGCAGUAGGGAAUAUUGGACAAUGGGCGCAAGCCUGAUCCAGCCAUGCCGCGUGAGUGAAGAAGGCCCUCGGGUUGUAAAGCUCUUUUGUCCGGUAAAGAAAGCGCCGGGUUAAUACCCUGGUGUCCUGACGGUACCGGAAGAAUAAGCACCGGCUAACUUCGUGCCAGCAGCCGCGGUAAU